AACGAACGCUGGCGGCAGGCCUAAUACAUGCAAGUCGAGCGCUCUCUUCGGAGGGAGCGGCGGACGGGUGAGUAACGCGUGGGAAUGUGCCCUUCUCUGCGGAAUAGCCUCUGGAAACGGAGAGUAAUACCGCAUACGCCCUUCGGGGGAAAGAUUUAUCGGAGAAGGAUCAGCCCGCGUUAGAUUAGGUAGUUGGUGGGGUAAUGGCCUACCAAGCCUACGAUCUAUAGCUGGUUUGAGAGGAUGAUCAGCCACACUGGGACUGAGACACGGCCCAGACUCCUACGGGAGGCAGCAGUAGGGAAUCUUGGACAAUGGGGGAAACCCUGAUCCAGCCAUGCCGCGUGUGUGACGAAGGCCCUAGGGUCGUAAAGCACUUUCGCCAGGGAUGAUAAUGACAGUACCUGGUAAAGAAACCCCGGCUAACUCCGUGCCAGCAGCCGCGGUAAUACGGAGGGGGUUAGCGUUGUUCGGAAUUACUGGGCGUAAAGCGCACGUAGGCGGAUUAGUCAGUCAGAGGUGAAAUCCCAGGGCUCAACCCUGGAACUGCCUUUGAUACUGCUAGUCUUGAGUUCGAGAGAGGUGAGUGGAAUUCCGAGUGUAGAGGUGAAAUUCGUAGAUAUUCGGAGGAACACCAGUGGCGAAGGCGGCUCACUGGCUCGAUACUGACGCUGAGGUGCGAAAGUGUGGGGAGCAAACAGGAUUAGAUACCCUGGUAGUCCACACCGUAAACGAUGAAUGCCAGACGUCGGGCAGUAUACUGUUCGGUGUCACACCUAACGGAUUAAGCAUUCCGCCUGGGGAGUACGGUCGCAAGAUUA
rnacentral:rRNA from 1 species